rnacentral:rRNA from 1 species
GUGCUUCCAUGCAGUCGACGGCAGCGCGGACUUCGGUCUGGCGGCGAGUGGCGAACGGGUGAGUAAUACAUCGGAACGUACCCUGUUGUGGGGGAUAACUAGUCGAAAGAUUAGCUAAUACCGCAUACGACCUGAGGGUGAAAGUGGGGGACCGCAGGGCCUCACGCAGCAGGAGCGGCCGAUGCCUGAUUAGCUAGUUGGUGGGGUAAAGGCCCACCAAGGCGACGAUCAGUAGCUGGUCUGAGAGGACGAUCAGCCACACUGGGACUGAGACACGGCCCAGACUCCUACGGGAGGCAGCAGUGGGGAAUUUUGGACAAUGGGGGCAACCCUGAUCCAGCAAUGCCGCGUGUGUGAAGAAGGCCUUCGGGUUGUAAAGCACUUUUGUCCGGAAAGAAAUCGCGCUGGUUAAUACCUGGCGUGGAUGACGGUACCGGAAGAAUAAGCACCGGCUAACUACGUGCCAGC